AGCUGCAGCUCAGCGAUAACGGGUAGCAAACAGUUUAAUCAGAGGUCGCUAGCGCACAGAAGUGCUGCUUUUAACACUUAGAGACCAAAAACGUCCCAGGUCCGGCUAAAAGUAAUGAGGUAGAAGGUGGGACAGCUGUAACUACUCGUAUUAAGAACAGACUGGCGCCGUCACAUUGAAAAUGGAGCAGGAGUUUGAGGACAUAGACUCUGAGGGCCGGUGGCACAAACUGUACUUAGAAAUCAGGAACCAGUCCCACGAGUGCUCCUACAAAGUGGCAAAGUAUCCAGAGAAUAGAAACCGAAACAGAUACAGGGACGUCAGUCCGUUUGACCACAGUCGGGUGAAGUUGAAGAGCACAGAUAAUGACUACAUCAAUGCAAGUCUGGUGAUGAUGGAAGAAGCCCAGAGAAGUUACAUACUAACUCAGGGGCCCCUCAGAAACACCUGUGGCCACUUCUGGCUCAUGAUCUGGGAGCAGAGGACCAAGGCAAUCAUCAUGCUCAACAGGGUCAUAGAGAAGGGUUCAGAAAAAUGUGCCCAGUACUGGCCCAUGUCUGAGGAGAGGGAGAUGGCCUUCAGGGACACACGCUUCUUGGUCACACUGUUGUCAGAAGACACCAAGUCGUACUACACAACCAGAGUGUUGGAGCUUCAGAAUAUGAAUACGGGCGAGAAAAGAGAGAUCUACCACUUUCAUUACACCACUUGGCCUGACUUUGGUGUCCCAGAAUCCCCUGCAUCCUUCCUAAACUUCCUCUAUAAGGUGAGGGAGUCGAAGGCGCUGAGUGUUGACCACGGGCCAGCUGUCGUGCACUGCAGCGCUGGGAUUGGACGCUCCGGGACGUUUUCGUUAGUCGACACUUGUCUCGUCCUGAUGGAUAAGAGGAAAGACCCGUCCUCUGUGGACAUCAAGAACAUCCUGUUGAACAUGAGGAAGUACCGCAUGGGUCUGAUCCAAACUCCUGACCAGCUACGAUUCUCUUACCUGGCAGUUCUAGAAGGAGCCAAGUACAUCAUGGGAGACCCCUCUGUGCAGACCCGGUGGCGGGAGUUGUCCAUGGAGGACCAGGAGCCCUUGUCCGAGUCUCGACCUGCGACUCAGCCGCAGACUCGAUGUCCGACUGAAUGGUGCAACGGCAGCCAACGAGCGAAUCAGCUGGAGGGAGGGUCAGACUACAGGCAGGACGGCAAAGUACCAGCACCGUCUCUCAACAAGGAACAGGAAGUGGAGGGCAGCACAACACACAAGAGACGCAGAGAAGACAGCAUCUCCAAAUCAGGAACAGGAAAAACAUCCCAAAGCAAGCCCAGGACGAGUGACUCAGACAAGAAGAGAAAAAGAAAAGGAAAAUGCUGGGAAUCGCUGACGGCACCAUUACCAAAAUGAAGCCGACUUCAGCAGAGAUAGACGAUGAGUUAAGCACGAGUUUGGGCUGCAUUUGCUGCACAUGACAACAGCUGACCUGUCCAGUGGGGGGCACUUUAUCUUUACCCCCUCCUGAGACAGGAACACCCACCACCACCACCACCGUGAAGAGCACAUUUAAUGGAGGAAGUUUACCCACAGCUUUAAAAAAAAAUAUCGUUGAGGGUGAAAACCAGCGACAGCUAACUUCCUCCACCUGUGGCCACACGACUACAGCUCUGGCAGAAAAGCCAACAUCGGCAGGGAACCUCCACUGUCCAAAUCCAAACCACUUUUCCUCACCUCCACCCCUCUUUAUUUUUCCAACUCUUUGUCUUAAAUUCUGUUUCCAUCAGCUCAACAGCAUUAUUAAAGCAGCGCACAAACAUUAUACAUAUUUUUAUGAACUGAAGUCCACAUUAGACAGGUACUUUUGAAAACAGAGGUUUUCUUGGUCCAGUUUUUGGUUCUCAAAAUUCUUCUCUUGUCUUAAAUCCCAAACCUGCGAAUGCUGUGUGUCACAGAUGCAAAGUUCUAGUCAGCUUCCACAGGCAUUUUUACAGUGCAUAACAGGUGAUGGAAAAAACAACAACAUAGCAUUGCAGUCUUCUUAAUCCUGUGAAACGGCAAGUUAUUCUGUGCUUGGGGUACCCCCCUUUGGAUCAUGGGGUUGUGUUUAAGUGUUUAAGUCGUGCUGAGGUACACUAACGCCGACCAAAUACUUUAAAUGUUUUUAUUCAAAAACGUACAGUUACAGUUAGGAUCAGUAGUAAAAUUAUUCCAAUGUCGUCAUUAGAGUAAAAUGUUACAGUCCCAUGGAAAAUGCAUGAAACUCCAUUUAUUUGUUCUUGUAAACACAUUAGCCAACAUCACAUACUGAGGCUAACCAGAACAAUCAAUGCACGAUUAGAACCUUCAUGACCAAUGUUUAAAGAACAGGAUACAUUUAAAAAAAAGAAAAAGAACUUGAUGGUUUGUCAAGAGAGCUAAGUUCUGAAAGGAAGAAGAACCAAAAAAA